UCCGCAUUGGUCUAGUGGCUAGGAUCUCCCGCUCUCAUUACGGAGUCCCGGGAAGGCCGGGGUUCAAUUCCCCGAUGCGGAA